GACGAACGCUAGCGGCGUGCCUAAUACAUGCAAGUCGAGCGGACCUCUUCGGAGGUCAGCGGCGGACGGGUGAGUAACACGUGGGCAACCUGCCUGUAAGACUGGGAUAACUCCGGGAAACCGGAGCUAAUACCGGAUACUAUGUCAAACCGCAUGGUUUGACAUUCAAAGACGGUUUCGGCUGUCACUUACAGAUGGGCCCGCGGCGCAUUAGCUAGUUGGUGAGGUAACGGCUCACCAAGGCGACGAUGCGUAGCCGACCUGAGAGGGUGAUCGGCCACACUGGGACUGAGACACGGCCCAGACUCCUACGGGAGGCAGCAGUAGGGAAUCUUCCGCAAUGGACGAAAGUCUGACGGAGCAACGCCGCGUGAGUGAUGAAGGUUUUCGGAUCGUAAAACUCUGUUGUCAGGGAAGAACAAGUGCCGGAGUAACUGCCGGCGCCUUGACGGUACUUGACCAGAAAGCCACGGCUAACUACGUGCCAGCCGCCGCGGUAA
rnacentral:rRNA from 1 species